GACGAACGCUGGCGGCGUGCCUAAUACAUGCAAGUCGAGCGAAGUUUUUCUGGUGCUUGCCCUAGAAAAACUUAGCGGCGAACGGGUGAGUAACACGUAAAGAACCUGCCUCAUAGACUGGGACAACUAUUGGAAACGAUAGCUAAUACCGGAUAACAGUAUUUCUCGCAUGACAGAUAUUUAAAAGUUGGUUAUGCUAACACUAUGAGAUGGCUUUGCGGUGCAUUAGCUAGUUGGUGGGGUAAAGGCCCACCAAGGCGACGAUGCAUAGCCGACCUGAGAGGGUGAUCGGCCACACUGGGACUGAGACACGGCCCAGACUCCUACGGGAGGCAGCAGUAGGGAAUCUUCCGCAAUGGGCGAAAGCCUGACGGAGCAACGCCGCGUGAGUGAAGAAGGAUUUCGGUUCGUAAAGCUCUGUUGUUAGGGAAGAAUGGAUAUGUAGUAACUAUACAUGUAAGAGACGGUACCUAAACAGAAAGCCACGGCUAACUACGUG
rnacentral:rRNA from 1 species